rnacentral:tRNA from 1 species
GCCGCGAUAGCUCAGUUGGUAGAGCGAGGGCCUGAAGAGCCCUGCGUCGGGGGUUCGAUUCCCUCUCGCGGCA